rnacentral:rRNA from 1 species
GAUGAACGCUGACAGAAUGCUUAACACAUGCAAGUCUUUGGCGAAGCUGUGCUUGCACAGCCUAGCCAAGGCGGACGGGUGAGUAACGCGUAAGGAACUUGCCCUGCAGUCAGGGAUAACAGACGGAAACGACUGAUAAGACCUGGUAAAGUCAGGCGGACUCAUGUCCAGCCUGAUGAAAAGAGAUGCUGCAGGAGAGCCUUGCGUCCUAUUAGCUUGUUGGUGGGGUAACGGCCCACCAAGGCGAUGAUAGGUAGCCGGCCUGAGAGGGUGGACGGCCACAAGGGGACUGAGAUACGGCCCUUACUCCUACGGAAGGCAGCAGUGGGGAAUAUUGGACAAUGGGGGCAACCCUGAUCCAGCAAUUCUGUGUGCACGAUGAAGGUUUUCGGAUUGUAAAGUGCUUUCAGCAGGGAAGAAAAAAAUGACGGUACCUGCAGAAGAAGCGACGGCUAAAUACGUG